rnacentral:rRNA from 1 species
UACCAGCUCUCCGAGUGGUAGGGAUGUUUAUUGGGCUUAAAGCGUCCGUAGCCGGCUUAGCAAGUCUCCUGUUAAACUCAGCGACCUAAUCGUUGAGCCGCGGGAGAUACUAUUAGGCUAGGAGGCGGGAGAGGUCAACGGUACUUCCGGGGUAGGGGUGAAAUCCUAUAAUCCCGGGAGGACCACCAGUGGCGAAGGCUGUCUGCUAGAACGCGCUCGACGGUGAGGGAUGAAAGCGUGGGGGAGCGAACCGGAUUAGAUACCCGGGUAGUCCCAGCUGUAAACGAUGCAGGCUAGGUGUUUGGGAUGGCUACGGGCCAUUUCGGUGCCGCAGGGAAGCCAUUAAGCUCGCCGCCUGGGGAGUACGGCCGCAAGGCUAGAAACUUAAAGGAUUGGCGGGGAGCACCACAAGGCGUGAAGCUUGCGGUUC